rnacentral:misc_RNA from 1 species
AGGAAAAAAUGUCAAAACAGAGUUCCACGUGCCAAUGUUUAUUUCAGAAAAAAUGUGAACCUCUUCAAAUAUUUACGGAUGUCAAUAAUGUGUUUCAUGAGAGGAAACCUGUGAUUUUGAGGGGACAGGAUAUUGGGAAUGUCACAGAGACAUGGAGUUCUGUGGAUUACCUAGCAGAGAAGGGUGGGACCAAACCUGUCAAAAUCCACGUGUCUCCAGUACCUCAAAUGGACUUCAUCAACAAAAACUUUGCAUACAAAUCACUACCAUUCAAUGAAUUUGUUAAAAGAGCAGCAGAGGAAACCCACAAAGAAUUCUUCAUAUCAGAGGGAGAGAAAUAUUAUCUGAGAGCCUUAGGUGAUGAUGUCAGAAAGGACAUAGCCGACAUAAAAGUACAGUUUCCAGAGUUGGCGUCAGACCUGAUUAUUCCAGAUCUUUUCCCAAAGGACAGGUUUUUCUCCAGUGUGUUCCGAAUAGCAUCCAAAGGGCUACAACUCUGGACACAUUAUGAUGUAAAAGAAUGCAGAUUGUGAUAAUCAUUGCUUUUGUUGAAAUUGACAAUUUUCACUCUUUUUGACCAGAUAUACUGAUACAAUUUAGAUGCUAAAGUCCUGAAAAAUGUAGAUAUUGACCAUAUCUUUUCUAAUUGCGAUUUCAUCUUAAGCAUUAUCAAAGAAAAAAAAUGUUUACAGACUUUCCAACGGAUUAGAAAAAUUUGAGGUCUAAUUCUAAUGACAGUUUAGAGACUGGUUUCAUUGAUAUUCCUGGGCAUCUAUUUUCAUGGAUUCAGUAAAAUUAACUUUUGAGGAUAGGUAAAUUCAUUAACAGCAUUCUAACAAUUGCUAUAUAUCCUUCAAUGAACCACAGGGGCCUGUUAUCUGCUCUGCUUUUUAUGUUAUACUGGGUAUACAUGUAUUAUUUAUAUACAAUGUAUAUGUCAUAGAGAGCAGAGCAGAUAAGAUGCCCCUGUGAUUGAAUAUUUGAAUUUUGUGGAUCUACAGAAUCCAUGAAAAAAAAUUGCUGUUUGAUGAAUAUUAAUUUGAUGAAACCACAAUAUUGUCCAUUCAUACUAGAUGUCCUUGUGACUGGGUGUAAAUGGAUCCUGCUUUUUACUGUGUGUUUCAGGUGAUGGACAACAUCCUGAUCCAGAUCAGCGGCAGGAAGAGAGUGGUGCUAUUUGAUCCGGCUGAUGCUCACAACCUAUACCUAAAUGGUGAUAAGUCAGAAGUUCUAGACAUAGAUAAUCCUGACCCUGAAAAAUUCCCCAAGUUUUAUGCAGCUACGAGAUACGAGGGGGAACUAGAGCCAGGGGAUAUUCUAUUUAUUCCAGCCCUGUGGUUCCAUAAUGUGGUGUCUCUGGACUUCGGCGUGGCAGUGAAUGUGUUUUGGAAACACCUUGAGGACAAUAUGUAUGAUAAUAAGGACAUUUACGGUAACAAAGACCUGCAGCCCGCAGCGAGAGCUAUGCAGAUAGUCGACCGGGCCAUAAAGACCCUAGAGGAAUUACCCCCCGUGUAUAGAGACUUCUACGCGAGAAGACUGGUGUCUAAAAUAGAGAGCAAAUGUUAUAAUAAAACCCAUGUC